rnacentral:lncRNA from 10 species
CUUUAAAGCAGAGCAUUUUCUCUGUGGCUGGUAGAAGAGGAAGUAAGAGAUUGAAUGGGUGAGAGGGAUUCAAUGGGAAUAGAGAACAGAGGUUCUCAUUGCUGAGAUGGCAGGGGUCAUAGGGCAAAGACCAGAGAAGCCACUAGGAGCUAAGAACAGGCCCGACCAGCAGUCAGAAAGGAAACAGGGAUCUCAGGCCUGCGGCUGCAAGGAACUGAACACUGCCAACCACCUGAGGUCUGCGGCAGCUGUCAAGCAUCUCAGUAACUCUGGCUGGAGGAUGAGGCCUGACUUUACAUAAGCCCCUGUCACGGACUUGCUGGAGUGUUACCUCUUUGAAGCCUCACUCCCGCCCGUUAGGAAGCUGCUGCAGUCCUGACUCCUGCGUCACAGUCCUCUGCAGGACCGAGGCUGUGUGGACGGAGGCUGUGUGGAUGGAGAUCCCACCAUCACCGAGUUCGGGCAAGUCCCAUGAGGGUCUCAGCUCCUCAUCCGUAACAUCAGGAUGAUAAAGCCUCCCUCGCAGGAUGGCCGUGCGAGUGCCCAGAUCCCAGGAGAGGGCUGGUAAAUGGGCGUUGCCUGCCCCAUCCCUUUCUACCUGCACGGAAAAGGAGAGAUGGCCCAGCCUCAGGUCAUCAGGACCCUUGAGCCAACCCUGCAUCUCAGCCCUGACUCCCACCCAGAAUGCCGGCCUUCCUCACCAAGGGUCUGGCUGACACCUCUGCGAUGCUCAUCACUAGUCACUUGGGAUUCCCUGGUGAUAUGGUUUGGCUGUGUCCCCACCCAACUCUCAUCUUGAAUUGUAGUUCCCAUAAUCCCCACAUGUCAUGGGAGGGACGGGGUGGAGAUAAUUCAAUCAUGGAGCGGUUUCCUCUGUCCUGUUCUCAUGAUAGUGAGCUAGUUCUCACGAGAUCUGAUUGUUUUAUAAAGGGCUUCUUUCUUCGCUGGGCACUCAUUCUCUCUCCUGCCAUCAUGUGAAGAGGGUCUUUGCUUCCCCUUUACUUUCCAUCAUGAUUGUAAGUUUCCUGAGGUCUCCCCAGCCAUGCGGAACUGUGAGUCAAUUAAACCUCUUUCCUUUAUAAAUUACCCAGUCUUGGGUAUUCCUUCAUAGAAGCAUGAGAAUAGACUAGUACACCUGGGGAGCAAGGCCUAGGGUGAAAAGUGAAGCUCAGAGCAGUUACCCUCC